rnacentral:rRNA from 1 species
UAACCGGCGAUUUCCGAAUGGGGAAACCCAGUGUGAUUCGUCACACUAUCAUUAACUGAAUCCAUAGGUUAAUGAGGCGAACCGGGGGAACUGAAACAUCUAAGUACCCCGAGGAAAAGAAAUCAACCGAGAUUCCCCCAGUAGCGGCGAGCGAACGGGGAGCAGCCCAGAGCCUGAAUCAGUGUGUGUGUUAGUGGAAGCGUCUGGAAAGGCGCGCGAUACAGGGUGACAGCCCCGUACACAAAAAUGCACAUAUUGUGAGCUCGAUGAGUAGGGCGGGACACGUGGUAUCCUGUCUGAAUAUGGGGGGCCCAUCCUCCAAGGCUAAAUACUCCUGACUGACCGAUAGUGAACCAGUACCGUGAGGGAAAGGCGAAAAGAACCCCGGCGAGGGGAGUGAAAAAGAACCUGAAACCGUGUACGUACAAGCAGUGGGAGCACGCUUAGGCGUGUGACUGCGUACCUUUUGUAUAAUGGGUCAGCGACUUAUAUUCUGUAGCAAGGUUAACCGAAUAGGGGAGCCGAAGGGAAACCGAGUCUUAACUGGGCGUUAAGUUGCAGGGUAUAGACCCGAAACCCGGUGAUCUAGCCAUGGGCAGGUUGAAGGUUGGGUAACACUAACUGGAGGACCGAACCGACUAAUGUUGAAAAAUUAGCGGAUGACUUGUGGCUGGGGGUGAAAGGCCAAUCAAACCGGGAGAUAGCUGGUUCUCCCCGAAAGCUAUUUAGGUAGCGCCUCGUGAAUUCAUCUCCGGGGGUAGAGCACUGUUUCGGCAAGGGGGUCAUCCCGACUUACCAACCCGAUGCAAACUGCGAAUACCGGAGAAUGUUAUCACGGGAGACACACGGCGGGUGCUAACGUCCGUCGUGAAGAGGGAAACAACCCAGACCGCCAGCUAAGGUCCCAAAGUCAUGGUUAAGUGGGAAACGAUGUGGGAAGGCCCAGACAGCCAGGAUGUUGGCUUAGAAGCAGCCAUCAUUUAAAGAAAGCGUAAUAGCUCACUGGUCGAGUCGGCCUGCGCGGAAGAUGUAACGGGGCUAAACCAUGCACCGAAGCUGCGGCAGCGACGCUUAUGCGUUGUUGGGUAGGGGAGCGUUCUGUAAGCCUGCGAAGGUGUGCUGUGAGGCAUGCUGGAGGUAUCAGAAGUGCGAAUGCUGACAUAAGUAACGAUAAAGCGGGUGAAAAGCCCGCUCGCCGGAAGACCAAGGGUUCCUGUCCAACGUUAAUCGGGGCAGGGUGAGUCGACCCCUAAGGCGAGGCCGAAAGGCGUAGUCGAUGGGAAACAG